rnacentral:rRNA from 1 species
GCAUCAGGCUUGCGCCCAUUGUGCAAUAUUCCCCACUGCUGCCUCCCGUAGGAGUCUGGGCCGUGUCUCAGUCCCAGUGUGGCUGAUCAUCCUCUCAGACCAGCUAGGGAUCGUCGCCUUGGUGAGCCAUUACCUCACCAACUAGCUAAUCCCACAUAGGCGUAUCCAAACGCACAAGGUCCGAAGAGCCCCUGCUUUGCUCCUAAGAGAGUAUGCGGUAUUAGCCAUCGUUUCCAAUGGUUAUCCCCCUCGUCUGGGCAACUUCCUAUGCAUUACUCACCCGUCCGCCGCUCGUCAGCAGAUAGCAAGCUAUCUCUGUUACCGCUCGACUUGCAUGUGUUAGGCCUGCCGCCAGCGUUCAAUCUGAGCCAGGAUCAAACUCU